GACGAACGCUGGCGGCGCGCUUAACACAUGCAAGUCGAACGGAAAGACCUGCUUUCCCUUGUGGAUUGCGGGUACUCGAGUGGCGAACGGGUGAGUAACACGUGAGUGAUCUGCCCCCAACUUGGGUAUAAGCCUGGGAAACUGGGUCUAAUUCCCGAUAGGACUGCAGGGUGGUGCCUGUGGUGGAAAACGAUUUUCUAGUGGUUGGGGAUGAGCUCGCGGCCUAUCAGCUUGUUGGUGGGGUAAUGGCCUACCAAGGCGGCGACGGGUAGCCGGCCUGAGAGGGUGGACGGCCACAUUGGGACUGAGAUACGGCCCAGACUCCUACGGGAGGCAGCAGUGGGGAAUAUUGCACAAUGGGCGGAAGCCUGAUGCAGCGACGCCGCGUGGGGGAUGACGGCCUUCGGGUUGUAAACUCCUUUCGACCGCGAGGAAGCCACCUGGUUGGAAGGGUGGUGACGGUAGUGGUAGAAGAAGCACCGGCUAACUACGUG
rnacentral:rRNA from 1 species